CAAUCACUCAGCUCUCAUGAUCAGGAACGCGGUGAAAAUGCCAAAAAGUAAACUUUUGGAGGCAGCGAGGAACGGACUUAAAUAUAAAAAGUAGACACAACAUUUAUAUCAUGUCCCCCUGUUCCUAAUAUGACGUCCGUCUUUUUGGUGUAAUGUCCGGCUUUUUGGGGUGUGAUGUCCUCCUUUUUGUUACUAUGAAUCUGGCCACCCUAGCUGUGAGGCGGACAGUGCUACCCACCGAGCCACCGUGCCGCCCUAUAAAAAGAGUACAAGUGAAGCUCAGUAAUGAUAAUUUUACUGAUUAAUCAGUAAUUCUUAAAUAAUUUAAAUAAAUAAAGAACCAUUAGUUAGAAGCAUAUGAAGAUUGUUAACCAGCAUUUAGCGGACACUUUUAGCCAAAGCGACUUACACAAUGAGCUGAACACAAUGAGCAAUUGAGGGUUAAGGGCAACGUGGUGGAGGUGGGGCUUGAACCAGCAACCUUCUGUUUACUAGUCCAGUACCUUAACCACUAAGUUAUCACUGCAUAUAUAUGUGUGUGUGUGUGUGUGUGUGUGUGUGUGUGUGUGUGUGUGUGUGUGUGUGUGUGUGUGUGUGUGUGUGUGUGUGUGUGUGUGUGUGUGUGUG